GGAUAAGAGGGCGAUCUGGCUGCGACAUCUGUCACCCCAUUGAUUGCCAGGGUUGAUUCGGCUGAUCUGGCUGGCUGGGUGGGUAUCCCCUUCCUCCCUCACCACUCCAUCUGCGUCCCUUCCAAAAGUGCGCCCUCAGUCUAAGAGGAUGACCACCCCCGAUAGAGCAGGACCAUUUCCUCGGCCAAGGGUAUACGAGUAGCUGUGCUCCCAUGCUAGAACCUCCAAACAAACUCUCAAAAAGAUAGUUUUAAUUUUGUUUGCCUCAUUUAAUAGUUUUUUUUUUCUUUUGAGGGUUGUUUUGUACAUCAGGAAAGUGCAGGCCUC
rfam:Fukomys damarensis contig136037, whole genome shotgun sequence.